GGUUCGUAGUGACCUGCGGAAGGAUCAUUA
rnacentral:rRNA from 3 species